UUCAUUUCAAGCUGAGAGACCAUGCGAUCAAGAUCCUAAGACUGUUAGGGCGAAAUUCUCGUAGGAUAAUCAGGACCCACAAACGCUGAUAUCAAUGGACAAUUCUGACUAUCAUUCAUUCGGAGACAAAGUUUCAAAGGAAUUAA